rfam:Mus musculus chromosome X, GRC primary reference assembly.
AUAAUUAUCUGACAAGGAAGAUACAAUGAUCAAGAAGGUGAUCUUCCCAGGGCUAGACUCACCUAUUGCCCUCCAGAUGUGCUGACCCUUUGUGAUUUCUCCCUGUAGGAAACUUGACCGCAUAAUUUGUAGUAGUUGGGGGACUGGAUUGGCACUCCUUCCAG